GGGGUCGUAGUCUAGCCUGGUUAGGACUCCACCUUGGGGUGGUGGGAACCCCAGUUCAAAUCUGGGCGACCUCA
rnacentral:tRNA from 1 species